AUUGGAGGAGAACAUGAUAACGGCCUCCCGAAAGCUGUUCGGAGGGGAGAGCUGUUUCAUUCUCCACUGCUCCCCAGAGCUGAGCGGAGCUCGCAAUAAAAGGAGCCAUCAGUUUGGGCUCCCAUGAAAAGGAAGGCAGAAAACUCAAGCUAUUGUGUACCUACCCGGAGCAGAGGCUUCCAGGGUCCACACUUAUCCCAUGCAAUCCCGUAGCGUCCCCACGAGCUGCAAUGAUCAGCAGGAAGAGGAAAUGGGAGCUUCCACAAAGUCAUGCAGGAGUACCUUGUUGUUGAGUGGCUGCGGACCAGGAUCUUUCCCAGUUCUACAAACGAGAUGUCAGGCCUGGCUGUCGUUCCCUCAGAACCCUGGGCAAGGAGCAAACUGCUUCCAGUAGAGCCUCCUGCUUCCAGAAUCUGAGUAUACUGAAGACCAGCAGAGACAUCCAGCAUCACCGACUGAACAACUCCUAGAUUCGUGAACCUUCCAUUGGUAGACAGCUAUUGGACUACCAGGACCAGAGCCCUAAGGCACUCUAACAACCCCCCCAAUCCUGUUAGUUCUUUUCCUGUAGAGAACCCUGACUAACACUGGGGAAUUCUCAAAGAGUAAGGAAGGAGAGUGCUUCCUGGCCCAGAGCUCAGGAAAGGCAAACGGGCAAUCAGGACCCCAGUUAUUACCAGAAGUAUGGCCACCCCCCACCCAUUAGUAGGUCCUCCCCUUGAUAUCAGAGACAGUGUGUCUCCCCACCCUCACUUUCUGCCCACCUCUGCACACCCUACCAUCUGCACAAGCUCCUGAUCACGUUGAGUCCAUAAGUGCUUGCCAGCCACUCUUUAGUAAACAGAACUACCCAGCAUUCUGCCGGCCCCCUCCAGCUAGCCCCAGGCUCCCUGACAGCCAGCUGCCACACACGGAGACUAGAGUAACCUUUAAAUCCAUUUAAAUGUAGUGACAUCCACCAAGGAACGCAGGUGCAGGCCAUAGGUCGCAUGCUGGAGCUUGGUUUGUAAAUAGAUGUCCCAAGGUCAUGCCAUCUUGGAGGGAAAGUCCUGGACCUUGUGAUCUGGGUCGGAGCCUCGGUUAUACCAAAUUUCAGCAGGA